ensembl:lncRNA
AACAGGGAUUCAAUGAUGGGCUCAAUUGACUCUAAUAUACCAGUGUAGCUGUGUACAAAUGGAAAUUGUGGCUGCAAUUUGUUGGAGGAGAUCUCGCCCGGCCGCUGUGUGAGACACCGUGGUGACAAACUGGAGGUUAGGGAAUGUAUCCGUGCAGCUCAGACACGGUGGAGGCAGGUAGACUAGAGGGGAGGCAGGUAGACUAGAGGGGAGGCAGGUAGACUAGAGGGGAGGCAGGUAGACUAGAGGGGAGGCAGGUAGACUAGAGGGGCGGCAGGUAGACUAGAGGGGCGGCAGGUAGACUAGAGGGGAGGCAGGUAGACUAGAGGGGAGGCAGGUAGACUAGAGGGGAGGCAGGUAGACUAGAGGGGCGGCAGGUAGACUAGAGGGGAGGCAGGUAGACUAGAGGGGAGGCAGGUAGACUAGAGGGGAGGCAGGUAGACUAGAGGGGCGGCAGGUAGACUAGAGGGGCGGCAGGUAGACUAGAGGGGAGGCAGGUAGACUAGAGGGGAGGCAGGUAGACUAGAGGGGAGGCAGGUAGACUAGAGGGGCGGCAGGUAGACUAGAGGGGCGGCAGGUAGACUAGAGGGGCGGCAGGUAGACUAGAGGGGCGGCAGGUAGACUAGAGGGGCGGCAGGUAGACUAGAGGGGAGGCAGGUAGACUAGAGGGGCUGCAGGUAGACUAGAGGGGUGGCAGGAAGACUAGAGGGGCUGCAGGUAGACUAGCGGGGAGGCAGGUAGACUAGAGGGGAGGCAGGUAGUCUAGAGGGGAUCCGUACAGAAAUGGUUUGUCGAGAUCGGUGUGGCCUGCACAGAGACCUGACCUCAACCCCAUCGAACACCUUUGGGAUGAAUUGGAAAGCCGACUACAAGCCAGGUCUAAUCGCCCAACAUCAAUGCCCGACCUCACUAAUGCUCUUGUGGCUGAAUGGAAGCAAGUCCCCGCAGCAAUAUUCCAACAUCUAGUGGAAAGCCUUUCCAGAAGAGUGGAGGCUGUUACAGCAG